rnacentral:rRNA from 2 species
UAGGGAAUCUUCGGCAAUGGGGGGAACCCUGACCGAGCAACGCCGCGUGAGUGAAGAAGGUUUUCGGAUCGUAAAGCUCUGUUGUUAAGGAAGAACGAGUGUGAGAAUGGAAAGUUCAUGCUGUGACGGUACUUAACCAGAAAGGGACGGCUAACUACGUGCCAGCAGCCGCGGUAAUACGUAGGUCCCGAGCGUUGUCCGGAUUUAUUGGGCGUAAAGCGAGCGCAGGCGGUUAGAAAAGUCUGAAGUGAAAGGCAGUGGCUCAACCAUUGUAGGCUUUGGAAACUGUUUAACUUGAGUGCAGAAGGAGAGAGUGGAAUUCCAUGUGUAGCGGUGAAAUGCGUAGAUAUAUGGAGGAACACCGGUGGCGAAAGCGGCUCUCUGGUCUGUAACUGACGCUGAGGCUCGAAAGCGUGGGGAGCGAACAGG